rnacentral:rRNA from 1 species
UACGUAGGAGGCGAGCGUUGUCCGGAGUUACUGGGCGUAAAGGGUGCGCAGGCGGCCGUGUGUGUGAGGUGCGAAAGCCUGGGGCUUAACCCCAGAAAUGCGCCUCAAACUACAUGGCUAGAGCAUUGGAGAGGGUAGCAGAAUUCAUGGUGUAGCAGUGAAAUGCGUAGAUAUCAUGAGGAAUACCAGAGGCGAAGGCGGCUACCUGGACAAUUGCUGACGCUCAGGCACGAAAGCGUGGGGAGCAAAAGGG